rnacentral:ncRNA from 1 species
UGAUCCCUCGCGGGAGAGAUCGCCACGGACCGCGCCUGGAAAGGCACGCGCCCGAUGGCGGCGCCGAAGGAGCAACCGCCCCCGGAAACUCUCAGGCAAAAGGACCGCAAGGGGACA